rnacentral:rRNA from 1 species
AGUGAACGCUGGCGGUAGGCCUAACACAUGCAAGUCGAACGGCAGCACAGUAAGAGCUUGCUCUUACGGGUGGCGAGUGGCGGACGGGUGAGGAAUACAUCGGAAUCUACUUUUUCGUGGGGGAUAACGUAGGGAAACUUACGCUAAUACCGCAUACGACCUACGGGUGAAAGCAGGGGAUCUUCGGACCUUGCGCGAUUGAAUGAGCCGAUGUCGGAUUAGCUAGUUGGCGGGGUAAAGGCCCACCAAGGCGACGAUCCGUAGCUUGUCUGAGAGGAUGAUCAGCCACACUGGAACUGAGACACGGUCCAGACUCCUACGGGAGGCAGCAGUGGGGAAUAUUGGACAAUGGGCGCAAGCCUGAUCCAGCCAUACCGCGUGGGUGAAGAAGGCCUUCGGGUUGUAAAGACCUUUUGUUGGGAAAGAAAAGCAGCAGGUUAAUACCACGCUGUUCUGACGGUACCCAAAGAAUAAGCACCGGCUAACUUCGUG